rnacentral:tRNA from 9 species
AGAGAGGUGGCCGAGUGGUCGAAGGCGCACGCCUGGAAAGUGUGUAUACGCCAAAAGCGUAUCGAGGGUUCGAAUCCCUUCCUCUCUGCGA